GGAGCUGGUAAUCAGGAUGGCAGUGAGGCAGGCACUUGCUUGCAGAAGAACAGGCCUAGUUUUUUAAGAAGCCACAAAAGUGUCUUUGGAUGAUUAGGAUCUAAGGGGCCAACAGCUUUGCAAUAACAGCAUAAAUAUUGUGGGCUGGAUGGACAGGCACCAAAUGGGGACAUUCCAUCCUGCUGUGUGAUGAGAAAGCUGCCACUUUUGAGGCCUUCCAAAACAAAUCAACACUCCAUAUGCCAGAAGGAAAAGCCCAGGAAAGACCUAUUCCAACUGGAGAUGGAAUACGAAGGGAGAAUGAAACAAAACUGCUCCGCUUAGGGAACUUGGAAAGGAAAUUGAAAAGGCAAGGCACAGGCUGGAAGAAAAUAUUUGAAAAAGAUUUAUGUGAACUUCUUUCUGGAUUAUACAAAAUAUUUUUAGAUAUUCUUACAACUCUAAAAUAAGAUAACUCCUUAAAAAUCUAAAUUCUACCAAAGGAGAGAUAAAGAUGACGAAUACAUUCAAAGAUGCUGAAAAUCACUUAUUUAUUAUUAGGAAGUUACAAGCUAAAGCAUAAUGAGAUACCACUACAACCUACUAAACUGACUAAAAUUAAUCAGACUAACCAGGUGUUGGCAAGAAACAGGGACACUGAGACUCUCACACUGCUGGAAGGAAUGUAAAAUGCUAAAACUUCUUUGGAAAUGAGUUCAGUAACUUUUUAAACAGUUGAAAAUAGACCUAUCAUGCAAACCAGCAAUCCCACUUCCAGGUAUUUAUACAAGGAAAAUGACAACAUAUGCCCACAUAAAGACUUGUGCACAAAUGACCGUAGCAGCUUUGUGAUAAUUGCUAAAAACUAGAAACUUGUCAAGUGUCCAACAGGUGAGUGGACAAACUCACUAUAG
rnacentral:lncRNA from 10 species